rnacentral:rRNA from 1 species
UACGAAGGGGGCUAGCGUUGCUCGGAAUCACUGGGCGUAAAGGGUGCGUAGGCGGGUCUUUUAAGUCAAGGGUGAAAUCCUGGAGCUCAACUCCAGAACUGCCUUUGAUACUGAAGAUCUUGAGUUCGGGAGAGGUGAGUGGAACUGCGAGUGUAGAGGUGAAAUUCGUAGAUAUUCGCAAGAACACCAGUGGCGAAGGCGGCUCACUGGCCCGAUACUGACGCUGAGGCACGAAAGCGUGGGGAGCAAACAGG